CUUAUCUCAGGACGUUAUUGCAGCAGGUAUUGCUUCUACUUCAACUGUGUUCUUGAUGACUUGUUUCUGAAAAUCACUUGUUCUGCAGGACUGUAAGCUGCCAGAAGAUUCAGUAUAUGGUCUUGCCUAUGAUCUUGUCAUAGCCUUGCUGUAAGAUCAUUCUCUUACCAGUUUGACACUACCUCUAGGAAAUUUUCAGCUUCUUACAUUCGAAACAAAUUACAUAUUGUGAUCUGAAACCAUCAAACAUCUUACUUGAUGAAAAUGGACAUAUUAAGCUGUGUGAUUUUGGGUUGAUAUUAGUAAAUCUCCAUCCAUUCCACGGGAAAACGUGGAACUCCGUAUUAUAUGGCUCCAGAACUAUAUGAAGAUGGAGGGGUCCAUUCUUUUGCUUCUGAGUUCUGACCUAUGGGGCCACUUGGCUGUGUUUUUUAUAUGAGUGUUACACAGGGAGACCUCCUUUUGUGGCAAGAGAGAGUUCACCCAGCUUGUGAAAUCUAUUCAUUCAGAUCCAACUCCUCCACUCCCUGGAAAUGCCAGCCGUCCAUUUCUCAAUCUCAUUGAGUCUCUUCUUAUCAAAGACCCAGCGCAAAGAAUACAAUGGGCAGAUCAUGCAUUUUGGAAGAGUAAAAUAUAAUCAUGUAUAUUGGCAUAUACACAAAGCCAUGUCUUUCCGAGCAUAAUGGUUCCAAAGUCUAGGGAGAAAGUUCCAAAAGGUAGUUCAAAGCACAAGGAGAACUCCACUCAUGGUUCAAGGGGCCAUGAGGCGCCACAAAAGGGUACUCCUGUUGGUUCAAAAGCUCAAACAAAGUUUCCUAGCAAGACAACUGGGUAAAAGCAUGGAGGUCGUCCGGGUUCUAACCGCCAGGUGAAUAUCCUAAGAUUGUCAAGGAUAGCAAAGGCAAAUCUCCAAAAGGAAAAUGAGAAGGAAAACUACAGGAGACCCUUACCUAAUAGCAACGAGAACUGUGCUGAAGUGAAAAUUGAUAACACUGAUAUGGAACUUGAUUUUGAUGAAGACAAUGAUGAGGAUGGUCCAGAUGAACCAGAAGGAAAUGAGAACACCUCUUGUGCACAAGAUGAAAGAGUUUUGAGUCAAAAUGAGAGUCACAGAAGGCAAGGAGUUAGGAGCAAUAAUGUGCCUGAUGAGAACUCGUCUGCAAAUGAAACACCAACCUCGGAUGAACCCAGAGAUUUCAAUGAAGAGCAGUCAGAACCUUUUGAAGUUUCAGCUGCGCUACCUAGUGCUAGCCCUCAAGUUAAAACUCAUAGAGAAAGAGAAGUUUCUGGGAUUACUGUUCACCACGACUCGUCUAAAACACCUAACAGCCUCAGUGCCGUCCUUUGACAUUUAUCUGAUCCUUCUGUUAGACCCGUCAUGCCCAGCAGAAAAUCUGACAAAGAAGCUCUGCCUUCUCUCUCAUUCGAAGCACCACAGCCUUCUGAUUUUAGUAAGAUGGGAAAGCAAGAACUUGAACCGCUUAACAAUAGAAUCAUAACGGUUCUAAGUGGGAGUAGUGCUGGCAUCUAAGAGACACAGAACCUGAUCAGAUACCUCGCAGACACUGAGUAGCAAUGCUGAUGCAGCCAACAUAUUGACCAACGGGCCAAUAAUGCUUGUGCUAGUAAAAGUUCUCCGGUUAUCCAAGACCCCAGCGUUUCGUGUACAAAUUGCUUCACUAAUUGGUUUGUUAAUCCGGCAUUCUACUGCUAUUGAAGAUGAGUUGGCAAGUUCUGGUAUUUUAGACUCUCUUGCCAAUGGCCUCAGAGACAAACAUGAUCAAGUGGGAGCAGUUGUGGGGAGCUCUGGAAAUUUUGGGCUGGAGAAAAACUGUGAAGAUGUUAUUGACAAGGGUGUAAACAAUAACAGGAGAGGAUUCAAUGGUAUUGGA